GACAGAGGAGGCAAGCGUUGUUCGGAAUCACUGGGCUUAAAGCGCGUGUAGGCGGCCCCGUAAGUGCCUUGUGAAAUCCCCCGUCUCAACCGGGGAAUGGCUCGGCAUACUGCGGGGCUUGAGGCCGGGAGAGGUGCCUGGAACUCUAGGUGGAGCGGUGAAAUGCGUAGAUAUCUAGAGGAACGCCUGAGGCGAAAGCGGGGCACUGGGCCGGUUCUGACGCUGAUACGCGAAAGCGUGGGGAGCAAACAGG
rnacentral:rRNA from 1 species